rnacentral:lncRNA from 1 species
AAGAAGGUCAGUCCUUUCGGCGUUCUAGCGGGUGCAUCUGUGGGUUUGGGAAACGGAGCACGCUGACCCGUGCGUACACGUUCCAGUCACGCCACGUCUGUGUGCCAUGUGCUUGGCGCGUGCUCAGUUUCACUUUCACUUUGCUCGAGCGAAGCGUGUCAGGGCUCCGCCGGAGACACGCUUACACGACACAAAUGAUCAUUUUCAGGACUCCUCUCGUUUUCCUGGCGAGGAUGAGCAUGACAGCGCGUGCAAACAAAUGUGAAAUGGGGCACGGCCAGGCCCGAACGCCCACGAACGUUUCCCCGAGCGUGACAGAGGGGGUCGUUCGGGCCGGACACAAAGUAGGAUACCCCACCAGCAUGUUGUGGAGCGCUUCUAGAACAUUUCAGUCGCUGCCCCCCUCUGCUUUUCUUUUUUGGCGCAGCCUUUUGUUCAGCAGAGGAGAGGGGAGCUGGGCCCAUCCUCAUGACGUCCGGUUGCGCAUUCCUUUCUUUUCCAGCGCCGGUGUGUCGACACGGGUGCGAGAGAGCAGAGGGAAAGGUGGGGAGGAGAGGGGACUGGUUGUGCAACCUCCGCCGCCGUUGCGCAAGAUGCCAGCAUUCAGGUGCGAGGCCUCCUGGCUGUAAGCGAGCCGCAUCUAGGAACGCGAUAUGUGCCGGACCGCCCGGUGAGGUCAUUGCUCCUAAAUAGCUGGGGAACCAGCGGCCGCGUGGCAGAGAAGGGAGCCCUUGCGCAACACUCCUGGUCCAGGCGCCAAACACCUCACCGGGUCCAGAUGAAGGCCGUGCAGCUGCAUCCUGCCCCGGCGACCAUGCCAGAAAUCUGCAUUGCGGUGGCCCUAAGGAGAGCUCGCCAUCGGAGCCUGGAGCAGAGCGCACGGUUAGGGGGUCCGGCAUCGAUGAGCCAAAGUGCCUGAAAUCCCUGCUCGGAAGUGUGAAACAGCAUUCCGAGUGACAGCGACGCCCUGGUGAGGCAUCGCGAUGUGCAACUCCUGGCAACGAGGCCCCCUCCCGCUGCAAUAGCGCAUGGCUGAACCUCACGGUGCCGUAACGAGUGGCAAUCGUUCUGCAAUGCCGGCGACCGAGGCUUAGUAACCGCUGCCUGGCAGACGCAUUUGCUCUGCUGACUCGCGGCUGGAGGAAGGCGCGCGAGAGCGGGCAGGGAGACCGCAGGGCCGACGGGACGCACGGGGUCAAGGGAGCGUUGCACCAGCGCUUCGGAGAAAUGACCAGCGAGCAAGUUUUUGGAAGCCACCUCAGGAGGACUGAAUCAUCAAAUGCCUUCGCUAUGAGGAUUCAUGCCUAGUUUAUAAACAAAGCAUCGACCACGUUUAACAUCAACCAACAUAGGCGAGUUUGCGGAAGCCGUCGGAGAUGGAGUUACGUCACCGUAUACCUUUAACCCGAGGAUCCAUCGAAAGAGAAUAAACAUAGUAGUUUUGACGAUUUCUAAGCCGAU